rnacentral:rRNA from 1 species
CGGGUGCGGAACACGUGUGCAACCUGCCUUUAUCUGGGGGAUAGCCUUUCGAAAGGGAGAUUAAUACCCCAUAAUAUAUUGAUUUGCAUGAAUUGAUAUUGAAAACUCCGGUGGAUAGAGAUGGGCACGCGCAAGAUUAGAUAGUUGGUGAGGUAACGGCUCACCAAGUCGAUGAUCUUUAGGGGGCCUGAGAGGGUGAUCCCCCACACUGGUACUGAGACACGGACCAG